AGAGUUUGAUCCUGGCUCAGAACGAACGCUGGCGGCAGGCUUAACACAUGCAAGUCGAACGCAUCCUUCGGGGUGAGUGGCAGACGGGUGAGUAACGCGUGGGAACGUGCCCUUCAGUUCGGAAUAACCCAGGGAAACUUGGGCUAAUACCGGAUACGUGCGAGAGCAGAAAGAUUUAUCGCUGAAGGAUCGGCCCGCGUCUGAUUAGCUAGUUGGUAGGGUAAUGGCCUACCAAGGCGACGAUCAGUAGCUGGUCUGAGAGGAUGUUCAGCCACAUUGGGACUGAGACACGGCCCAAACUCCUACGGGAGGCAGCAGUGGGGAAUAUUGGACAAUGGGCGCAAGCCUGAUCCAGCCAUGCCGCGUGAGUGAUGAAGGCCUUAGGGUUGUAAAGCUCUUUCGGCGGGGACGAUAAUGACGGUACCCGCAGAAGAAGCCCCGGCUAACUUCGUGCCAGCAGCCGCGGUAAUACGAAGGGGGCUAGCGUUGUUCGGAAUCACUGGGCGUAAAGGGCGCGUAGGCGGCUUUGUAAGUCGGGGGUGAAAGCCUGUGGCUCAACCACAGAAUUGCCUUCGAUACUGCAUGGCUUGAGACCGGAAGAGGUAAGUGGAACUGCGAGUGUAGAGGUGAAAUUCGUAGAUAUUCGCAAGAACACCAGUGGCGAAGGCGGCUUACUGGUCCGGUUCUGACGCUGAGGCGCGAAAGCGUGGGGAGCAAACAGGAUUAGAUACCCUAGUAGUCC
rnacentral:rRNA from 1 species